rnacentral:rRNA from 1 species
CUACGGGCCGCUGCAGUAGGGAAUAUUGGACAAUGGGCGAAAGCCUGAUCCAGCAACACCGCGUGCACGAUGACGGCCUUCGGGUUGUAAAGUGCUUUUAGAGGAGAUGAGAAAGGACAGUAUCCUCUGAAUAAGCCUCGGCGAACCACGUGCCAGCAGCCGCGGUAAAACGUAGGAGGCAAGCGUUAUCCGGAUUUAUUGGGCGUAAAGCGCGUGCAGGCGGUCUAGCAAGUUGGAUGUGAAAGCUCCCGGCUCAACUGGGAGAGGGCGUUCAAUACUGUUAGACUAGAGAAUAGGAGAGGGAGGUGGAAUUCCGGGUGUAGUGGUGAGAUGCGUAGAUAUCCGGAGGAACACCAGUGGCGAAAGCGGCCUCCUGGACUAUUUCUGACGCUAAGACGCGAAAGCUAGGGUAGCAAACGGGAUUAGAUACCCCCGUAGUC